GAGCAAGUCUGGCCUCAGCAGCUCUCUCUGCUUCCCAGUGGAGACGUGACCACUUAAUGUGACUCACUCCUGCCAUCUGCCAUGGGACCUUUGCCAAGCCUGCUACUCUAUGCCAUUUAGGCUUUCACCCUCUCAAACUGUGAGCUACAAAAAUGUCCCCCAUCCCAGUACUGGGGAUUGAACCCAGGGGUGCUCUACCAUUGAGCUACACCCUAGUCCUUUUUAUUUUUUAUUAUUUUGAGACAGGGUCUCACUAAGUUGUCAAGGCUGGCUUCAAACUUGCCAUCUUCCUGCUUCUCUCCCCUGAGUAGCUGAGAUUACAGGUUUCAACCACUGCACUUGACUGCCACCCUGUUUUGAUGGUUGGUUUGCUUGACUGUCUCCUCCACUGAACCUGACCAGGAUCAUGGUUUGGCCCCUGUCUGUUGCUUCCCACAGGGCUGAUACAUCUGUGUGCACACAUGCAGGUGAAGACAGCUGAGUGCUGGAGUGGGAAGACACACUGUCCCAGACGUGAAAUUCUUUCCUUAGGAUGGUUACUGAACAGGCCCAUCCAGGUGCUCAGAAUCAGUAGGGCACCUUUCCAACCAACACAUAGUCCCUCCCUGUUCCACACCUCUUUAGCCAGUAUCUUCAGGGAUGUGCCAGGCACAAGAAUUUGAGCAAAGUAUCUCAUGUACAUUUGAUACAUUGCCCUUCCUGAGCCCCAAGUGACCCAAUCAGGAUGGAAGCACACCUGGGUGUCUGAUAUUUUUACUUUGCAUCUUUCUAGAAAAGAGAAAGCACUGAAGUGAGCCACCAGGCCUUUUACAGCCUCUGGGAUAGAAAGGUCAGUUGAAUUGCCAG
rnacentral:lncRNA from 1 species